AGCAGUCAGCUAACUCUCAAUAAACUGGUCGAACUGCAUGUCCGGAUUUUGGAACGCAGUUUCGCAACUGAUAUGAGUGAACAACUCUGCACAACGCUAUCAACAAGUUUUACAUCCAGAUUCAGGCUCCAGCUAACUUUACCCAACUAGAGAACCAUCGGUGCCAAUCUACAAGCCUGGCCGGGGCUCACCUUCGUCGGCUAGCUGCUUCACUGAAUGGGCAUCACUUAAGUGUUUCCUCCGAAAUGCAGUAAACAAUUUGAAGAGCCAAUCGGCUGAGCAAAUCGGAGGCUUUCCCGAAAAGGGCUGUGCUGCGUAACUGGUCGUUGUCUUCACUUUUCAAAGGUGAGGCACUUUGGCAUGACUCGCAUACUACCCGAGUCAUCAAAUUUUCAAUGCUUGAACGAUUUGCUUGCCUAAACGAAAUUCGCGUACGUUGAAGUUCGUGCUUUUGCGUCAUCGCAUCUCGCUUCUGCAAAGGGUGUCAUUUGUGGUGUACCCACCUACAUUACUCUUGAGGCCUCCUUGAAGGUGGUGUCUCCUGCUGGUGCUCUGUGAAUUUACAGAUGCAAUAAUUUGAUGGGCGGGCACCAAUUGAGAGCAUUACUUUCUAGUGCUCACCACCGAACUGAAAGCACAGCCCUAGUCAUUCCGUGGAGACGCACUGACACCUUGACCACUGCGAUAGCAUAACUGCUGCCGAUUCGGAUAUAGAGGUGACGCUUGCAAGUCCUCAAUGAGAUGCCUUAAGUAAAAUGGGUCACCCUCCCCAUCAGGCUGUAAUGUAGAAACUGCCAGGUGUUUAUUAUGCGAUGGAAAGCUCUAAUCUGCGUAAAAUACCUACCCCACCACUAUCGUGAGAUGCAGAUCCUGUGGAGCAUAGGGAAAUGCCUUUGUUUCCACGCAGUGUCUUCAUGCAUAAUUAGAGAGUGUAAUGUCGGGCUUGCAGCGGCUAUAUCAAUGCAGGUUUCUUAAAGCAGCACUCUCUUCGGCAGUUGUUGCAGUGAUUGAUAAAGAUGUCCCAGUAGUAAUAGAACGUCUUUUCAACACGUUCGCUGAAGGUCCGACUGAGAUGUCAGGCACCGUGUUAAACGGCCUCGUUCUUUCCUACCCUGUGGCAGCUGUUGCAUUCUACAGUUAGCCUCAGCGCAGGGCCAACAGAUCGAGCUAUUAGGGUCAAAGAUGUUUUCCCAGAGAAGCUCAGCAGCUCAUUUACCAGUCGCUGGAAAGGUUGCGCCAAGUCACACCACGCUGAGUCACAGUAGAGCGGCUGGCCACAUUUCAGAUUCUCUAGUGAACCAUCUGUACAGAGUGCUUGGCAGUGGCGUUACCAGGUAGAAGGGCGCCCAUCGCAAAUAUGUUUCCGCACCUGUCAAACUGGUAAUGACGGGGAUUCUUUUUUUAUUUUAAGUAUGUUGUUUUGUGUGCGAAAAAGCCAUUUGGCCGUUUUGGGCUAGUGAAUCAGUGAUCUCUUGAUUGAUUGAUUGA